UAGAAUUCAUAGUUUUGCCUUCCAGUUGGAGCCUCAUUCCCAUGAACUGAAAUCUUUAUAAACUAACAUUAAUUCAAUCUCUAUUUUUGUUUUCAGAGGAUGGACGAUUUUGAGUUGUUGAGACAACAUUGGGACGAAAUCGACGACGAACUUCAAUUUAAAAAUGACGUUGGGGAACCAUCUUCACCAUCUCCACCACCUUCACCAUCCGAAUCUAGCAUGAUAACUGUAACCCACUACCCGCCGCCGGUAAGCUACAGAGCAUUAGUAGUGUGUCUUAUGAAAAUCUUAGUGUCGUUGAAAUUUGAACAUUGAUGGGGUUCAAUCAAAGGCGCGUUUUACAUAAUUCUAUGGUGGAGC